rnacentral:rRNA from 1 species
GAUGAACGCUGGCGGCGUGCCUAAUACAUGCAAGUCGAACGAAACUUCUUUAUCACCGAGUGCUUGCGCUCACCGAUAAAGAGUUGAGUGGCGAACGGGUGAGUAACACGUGGGCAACCUGCCCAAAAGAGGGGGAUAACACUUGGAAACAGGUGCUAAUACCGCAUAACCAUAGUUACCGCAUGGUAACUAUGUAAAAGGUGGCUAUACUACCGCUUUUGGAUGGGCCCGCGGCGCAUUAGCUAGUUGGUAGGGUAAAGGCUUACCAAGGCAAUGAUGCGUAGCCGAAUUGAGAGGUUGAUCGGCCACAUUGGGACUGAGACACGGCCCAAACUCCUACGGGAGGCAGCAGUAGGGAAUCUUCCACAAUGGGCGAAAGCCUGAUGGAGCAACGCCGCGUGGGUGAAGAAGGUCUUCGGAUCGUAAAACCCUGUUGUUAGGGAAGAAAGUGCGUGAGAGUAACUGUUCACGUUUCGACGGUAUCUAACCAGAAAGCCACGGCUAACUACGUG